AUGAAAAGUUUAAAUGGCCGCAGUACCCUGACUGUGCUAAGGUAGCAUAAUCAAUUGGCCUUUAAUUGAGGUCUGGAAUGAACGGAUUAAUACGGAAGCUAACUGUCUCUCUUAGAAUUUGUUGAAGUUAUCUUUAAAGGUGAAAAGGCCUUUAUAUGUGAAAAUAGACGAGAAGACCCUAAGAGUUUUAAUUAUAGGUAAAGGUUUUUACUUUUUUUUUUGCUGGGGCGGCAAGGAAACAAAUUAACUUUCUUGGUAAAAUUAACAAAAUUGACGCGAAAUUUUAUGAAGAGCUAAUAAACUACCUUAGGGAUAACAGCAUAAUUAUUUUAAUGUUUGUGACCUCGAUGUUGGACUAGGAAAGCUUUAAUGGCUAGCCGCCGAAAGUACUAUGUUCUGUUCGAACAUA
rnacentral:rRNA from 1 species